rnacentral:misc_RNA from 1 species
GUGAAUCAUCGAAUCUUUGAACGCAAAUUGCACUCUCUUCGGAGAGUAUGCCUGUUUGAGGGUCAGUAUUAAUAAAAAUCGGUGUGUUGCUUCUUUGUGACGCUCCGGAGUUUGGGUCAUCUUAAUAUCCUUCAGGUUUUAAGAGGCUUAAAAUUGAACUUUUUUGCGCACUUUUAGACGUACAUAAAUUUAUUUUAUCGUCUAUUCUGGUGCCAAUUAUCUAUUAGGUGCGAUCACAUCGUGUGGUUUCGUGUCCAUAAAAUUUUCAUGAUUUGACCUCAAAUCAGGUAGGAGUACCCG